rnacentral:rRNA from 1 species
GACGAACGCUGGCGGCGCGCCUAACACAUGCAAGUCGAACGAGCGAGAGAGAGCUUGCUUUCUCGAGCGAGUGGCGAACGGGUGAGUAACGCGUGAGGAACCUGCCUCAAAGAGGGGGACAACAGUUGGAAACGACUGCUAAUACCGCAUAAGCCCACGACCCGGCAUCGGGUAGAGGGAAAAGGAGCAAUCCGCUUUGAGAUGGCCCCGCGUCCGAUUAGCUAGUUGGUGAGGUAACGGCCCACCAAGGCGACGAUCGGUAGCCGGACUGAGAGGUUGAACGGCCACAUUGGGACUGAGACACGGCCCAGACUCCUACGGGAGGCAGCAGUGGGGAAUAUUGCACAAUGGGGGAAACCCUGAUGCAGCGACGCCGCGUGGAGGAAGAAGGUCUUCGGAUUGUAAACUCCUGUUGUUGAGGAAGAUAAUGACGGUACUCAACAAGGAAGUGACGGCUAACUACGUG